rnacentral:sRNA from 1 species
GCAUCCCAUUGCUUGUCCCCUACUCUCCCAACCUUUUCCUCCCAGGGCUUCCAUGCUUGAGGAAUGUCAUGGGUGAGACUGCAUUUGAAGGCCUGGGACACAUCGACCACAUUAUGGCUGCCAGCAACAGGAAGGAGGGGGAGAGAAUACCAACUCCAUCAGUUCCAAUGGAGAAGAUUCAGAUGAGGCUCAAAUGCGACUUCAGCUGAAGCGGAAGCUGCAAAGAAAUAGAACAUCCUUUACCCAAGAGCAAAUUGAGGCCCUGGAGAAAGAGUUUGAGAGAACCCAUUAUCCAGAUGUGUUUGCCCGAGAAAGACUAGCAGCCAAAAUAGAUCUACCUGAAGCAAGAAUACAGGUAUGGUUUUCUAAUCGAAGGGCCAAAUGGAGAAGAGAAGAAAAACUGAGGAAUCAGAGAAGACAGGCCAGCAACACACCUAGUCAUAUUCCUAUCAGCAGUAGUUUCAGCACCAGUGUCUACCAACCAAUUCCACAACCCACCACACCUGUUUCCUCCUUCACAUCUGGCUCCAUGUUGGGCCGAACAGACACAGCCCUCACAAACACCUACAGCGCUCUGCCGCCUAUGCCCAGCUUCACCAUGGCAAAUAACCUGCCUAUGCAACCCCCAGUCCCCAGCCAGACCUCCUCAUACUCCUGCAUGCUGCCCACCAGCCCUUCGGUGAAUGGGCGGAGUUAUGAUACCUACACCCCCCCACAUAUGCAGACACACAUGAACAGUCAGCCAAUGGGCACCUCGGGCACCACUUCAACAGGACUCAUUUCCCCUGGUGUGUCAGUUCCAGUUCAAGUUCCUGGAAGUGAACCUGAUAUGUCUCAAUACUGGCC